ACCCUGCGGAUAGCUCAGUGGGCGGAGCAUGAGACUCUUAAUCCCGGGGUUGUGGGUUUGAGCCCCAUGUUGGGUA